AGUGAACGCUGGCGGUAGGCCUAACACAUGCAAGUCGAACGGCAGCACAGGAGAGCUUGCUCUCUGGGUGGCGAGUGGCGGACGGGUGAGGAAUACAUCGGAAUCUGCCCAGUCGUGGGGGAUAACGUAGGGAAACUUACGCUAAUACCGCAUACGACCUUCGGGUGAAAGAGGGGGAUCGCAAGACCUCUCGCGAUUGGAUGAGCCGAUGUCGGAUUAGCUAGUUGGCGGGGUAAUGGCCCACCAAGGCGGCGAUCCGUAGCUGGUCUGAGAGGAUGAUCAGCCACACUGGAACUGAGACACGGUCCAGACUCCUACGGGAGGCAGCAGUGGGGAAUAUUGGACAAUGGGCGCAAGCCUGAUCCAGCCAUACCGCGUGGGUGAAGAAGGCCUUCGGGUUGUAAAGCCCUUUUGUUGGGAAAGAAAUCUUUCAGGCUAAUACCCUGGGAGGAUGACGGUACCCAAAGAAUAAGCACCGGCUAACUUCGUG
rnacentral:rRNA from 1 species